UACGAAGGGGGCUAGCGUUGCUCGGAAUUACUGGGCGUAAAGCGCACGUAGGCGGCUUUCUAAGUCGGGGGUGAAAUCCUGGAGCUCAACUCCAGAACUGCCUUCGAUACUGGAAAGCUCGAGUCCGGGAGAGGUGAGUGGAACUGCGAGUGUAGAGGUGAAAUUCGUAGAUAUUCGCAAGAAUACCAGUGGCGAAGGCGGCUCACUGGCCCGGUACUGACGCUGAGGUGCGAAAGCGUGGGGAGCAAACAGG
rnacentral:rRNA from 1 species